GAGGACAUAACUCAGUUGGUAGAGUGUCUGUUUUACACGCAGAAUGUCAGCGGUUCGAGACCGUUUGUCCUCA
rnacentral:tRNA from 1 species